rnacentral:rRNA from 1 species
GUUSCCAAGCCGCGAGGUGGAGCUAAUCCCAGAAAAUGCAUUGUAGUCCGGAUCGUAGUCUGCAACUCGACUACGUGAAGCUGGAAUCGCUAGUAAUCGCGGAUCAGCAUGCCGCGGUGAAUACGUUCCCGGGUCUUGUACACACCGCCCGUCACACCAUGGGAGUGGGCUUUACCAGAAGUAGUUAGCCUAACCGCAAGGAGGGCGAUUACCACGGUAGGGUUCAUGACUGGGGUGAAGUCGUAACAAGGUAGCC